rnacentral:lncRNA from 1 species
CUGGGCCAAAUACUUCCAAACUUUAAUUGAAUGUUCCUUAGGGUAUCUAGUUUGUAAAUUGUAUCCGAAGUUAUGAUCUAUCAACAAACAUGGUCGCCAUUGCUAAAAAUAGAACAUAGGGGUCAAAUGCAGUUUUUGGCUUAUAACUCAAAAACCAAAGCAUUUAGAGCAAAUCUGACAGGGGUAAUAUUGUUUAUCAGGUCAAGAUCUAUCUGCCCUGAAAUUUUCAGAUGAAUCAGAC